GCCCUGGUAGCUCAGUGGAUAGAGCAGUAGCCUUCUAAGCUAUUGGCCGUAGGUUCGAUUCCUACCCAGGGUACCA
rnacentral:tRNA from 1 species